rnacentral:rRNA from 1 species
CAAUAGCGUAUACUAAAGUUGUUGCAGUUAAAAAGCUCGUAGUUGAAUUUCUGGAUGCGAAAGAUGGUCGGCACCUAACGGUGUCUGCACCUAUCAUUCGCGUUCAUCCUCGGGAGGAACGUGUGGUCUCUUCAGUGAGCCCGCUCGGGAAUCUCGUCAUUUACUGUGAGCAAAAUAGAGUGUUCAAAGCAGGCUUACGCCGUUGAAUAUAUUAGCAUGGAAUAAUAAGAUACGACUUUGGUCUAUUUUGUUGGUUUGCAUUCCAAAGUAAUGAUUAAUAGGGAUAGUUGGGGGUAUUCGUAUUCAAUUGUCAGAGGUGAAAUUCUUGGAUUUAUGGAAGACGAACUACUGCGAAAGCAUUUACCAAGGAUGUUUUCAUUAA